rnacentral:rRNA from 1 species
UAGGGAAUAUUGGACAAUGGGGGCAACCCUGAUCCAGCCAUGCCGCGUGAGUGAAGAAGGCCCUCGGGUUGUAAAGCUCUUUUGUCCGGAAAGAAAAGCUUCGGGUUAAUACCCCGGGGUUCUGACGGUACCGGAAGAAUAAGCACCGGCUAACUUCGUGCCAGCAGCCGCGGUAAUACGAAGGGUGCAAGCGUUACUCAGAAUUACUGGGCGUAAAGCGUGCGUAGGUGGUUGUUUAAGUCUGAUGUGAAAGCCCUGGGCUCAACCUGGGAAUGGCAUUGGAAACUGGGCAGCUAGAGUGCGGUAGAGGGUAGUGGAAUUCCAGGUGUAGCAGUGAAAUGCGUAGAGAUCGGGAGGAACAUCUGUGGCGAAGGCGACUGCCUGGACCAGCACUGACACUGAGGCACGAAAGCGUGGGGAGCAAACA